GCUGAUAUACUGUGUUUGUUGCAAAGUUGCAAACUUUGUUAUCUCAUUGUAGGC
rnacentral:tRNA from 1 species